rnacentral:lncRNA from 1 species
GGGAGAAGUGACGAUGGUGAUCGUUGCUGCCGCGGCCGAUAUGGAACCCAAGCAGUGGCGAAGGGAAUCGCAAGGCUCUUCCCUGACCAUUUUCUACUGUCCCUGCGCGAGGCUGAGUUAUGAACUUCGGUUUGGUUUCUUUCUGCAAUCCCUGCAGGGCCAUAAAUUCUUGGCCCUUAAGACUGGGUGGCCCAUAACAGACUCAGUGAUACCAUCAGUAACCACAAUUCACACUGGAGUCAAGUUAUCUGAUUCCCACACCAGUUGGAGAACUGGAGAUUCCUUAGAACUUUUAACUGUCAUGUUUUCAAAGUUGACAUGGAAAAUUUUACAUGAAGCUUAAAAAUACAACUAAUCUGUGGUGAUAGAGACGAGAAGAGUUAAGCUCUAAAAUUAGAAGAGCAGUUCGUUUUGAGGCAGCACUGAUUGGGAGGGAGCAUGGAGUAUAUAAUUACACAUUUCUAUGUAAUGUAAAAAUGUAUAGAUUUAAGAUUUAUGCAUUUUAUGUAAAUUUUACUACAAUAAAACGAAAAUGAAAGAAGACAGAUCAUAGUUUAAUCAAAUAUUGUGUACAAAGUAAUUUCUGUUAAACAUUUAUAUUUUUAUGUGUAUAUGUAUCUUUUACAUGUAUGUGUUAAGGAUAUGCAUUAAAAUGGUAAUAACUUCCUCUGCCUGUUGGGAUAAUGGAGAGUUUUGUUACUUUUUGUCUUUUUUUAAAACAUGUUCUUCAAUAAUAAUGUAUUGCUUUUGUAAUUAUGAAAAACAAAAGUUAUUUUGUAAAUCUUUGUUACUGAUAAGAGAUGGGUAUUCUGUUAACUACUCAAUUCUCAUGUAGGAAAACAAAAUAAAUAAUGUCUAUUUGAUAAAUCGAGAAACAGAAGCAUUACUUAGAAAUCUGAGUUACCUCUAAAAUAAUGACUGGCAUUUGAAGUUGAGGAUGGGUCUUGAGUUCCUGUGAUUUUAAGCUCUUGGAUAUGAGGGUUGGGUGAGUUCCUCUUUUUCUCUUUUAAAAUAUAUGUAUGUUUAACUUUGCUAAAUAAAAUUUAAAAGAUGCAA